GGGGGGGGGGAAUCGAACCCACAUUGUUCCGCUUAACGGGCAGAUGCCAUGUCCACUAGGCUACCC
rnacentral:tRNA from 1 species